rnacentral:tRNA from 1 species
GCCCUCAUGGAGAAGCUGGAGUUCUCGCCGGCCUGUCACGUCGGAGACCACGGGUUCAAGUCCCGUUGGGGGCGCCA